CUACAGUUAAAAAGGAGAGUGAUUUUGGUAUUAUUUGGAAACUAUAGGGGUAAAAAUGUCAGAAGAUAGUCAAAGUGAAACGAGUUUUUCUGGAGGGUACGGCGUUUCAAGAGGACGAGAAACUUCUUCUUUUUCUUCUUCUUCUGUCCGGCGGUGAUGGAGGCGUCGCAGGAAUUACCGGAGUGUCCGGUCUGCUUGCAACCGUAUGACGGCGCGUGCACGAUCCCGUCGGAGCAAUCCGAUGCCCCGCCUGUACGGUUCUCGUCAAGUACCCGACGGAAUGUCCGACGACUCUCCCAAAAAACAUCGACCUCCUUAGACUCAUCCCCGCCUCUGAAAAUCCCCGAAAACCCGACAACGAACCGAAAAAUGUCUCCCGUGUCCCUUUCCUCCCCCGAUCUUGGUCCGACAAGUUUUACUCCAACUGGAAAAACUACCUCCUCCGUGAUGACGCCGUUGAGAGAAACAAAGUGAGUCUUUAUCCCGUUGGGUAUUUUUCAACUGGUGGGGAGGAUGGCUCCGUGUUUAAUGCUGGGUAUCUCGUUAAAGUUAUGGAUUGCAUGCGUGAAAUGAAAGAGGAUGAAAGAGAAUAAUUGGGUUUAGUUUUAAGAGCAUUUACUAAGCAAAGUUGUAGAAUUUUGGGUUUGUGGGGUGAUCUUGGGAUGGAGUUUUAUAUUUAGUAAGUGAGAAGCAGAAAUUGGGAAGUGUUUUGGAUAAGAACUUGGGUAGUUUUGACAAAGAUGGGGUUUUUAAUUUCGCAAUGAUCGGUAUGGUAAUAUGUGACGCCGUCGUUUCUUUGCAUCGAGAAGGGUUGAUUGCUGGUUGUUAAGCUUUGUUUGCCUAUGAUUUCGGGCAUAUAUAUAUUGAUUUGAAUGAGUUGUUAUUGACUGGAAGGGGAAUGCAAGAUGCUGUAAAUGUUGGUUUUAGUGGUAAAAAGAUUAUUGAUGAAGAAAUUGGUAUUUUGUUUUAAGAUUUGUUGAGAAGGGAUGUAUUUGUUAGCCCUGACGUGUUGCUUAAGCUUUUAGAUAAAAAGGGUAUCGGGUUAGAGCGUGGUAGCACAAGAUAUUCAAUAAGAUAUAGCUCGGAUGCUUGGUUGUUAAGUUGUAUUCUGCUUAGGAUUGUCAAUGGGGAUGUUUUUAGUGACGAGUUGGUUGAUUAUAUGUGCCAUAUUAUUGUGAAAGGAAGUGAGAAUAGUGAAAUUGAUUGUUUGAGUGUCUAUACAAGUUUCAUGGAGAAAGUUAUUUCUUUGUUCGGAACUAAAUUUGGGUCAGAAUGUGUGCCUUUGCAACAGGUUCUAUGUAAAUGCUUGGAUCUUGAUCCCGAGCAUCGUUCACUGGUGAGAGAUGUAUGGAAAUGUAUUAGAGAGCUAGUUAUUAAACUGCAAUCCGAUAAAUUGGUGAAAUUGGAUGGAGCAAGUUAUGAUGAGAAUGGAGAACGAUGUUUGGUUGUGGGAAAAUUGUGUCUGAUGUCUGGGGAAAGACCUGUAAAAACAGGAAAAAGAAGAGACACAAGGAAAUGAAACAAACGGUGCAACGGACAUGGUUAACGGUCUCGCUGAGGGAAGCAUUAAAUCAAAAGAUUUGCAAGGCUAUCUUGAUCGGGUUUCCGGAUUAGCUGUAGGAGUUUAGGGGGACGAUGUGCUUCGGAAAUCAAUGCAAAUACACAAUGGAGCCAUUUUCGCUGUUAGCUUGGACGGAAAAUGGCUUUUUACGGGUAGUUGGGACCGAACCAUCAAGGCACAGGAACUAGCAGGAGAUAAUGUUGAAGUAGAUGUUCGACAGAUUGGCUUCAAGACCUAUGCAUGUAGAUGAUAACCAACAACGGAGAUGAGAUUUGCUCGUGGUUAUCGUUUGUUUUUCUGUUUUGUUCAGUUUCAUACCAACCAUGGAUGAAAUGCUGAAUCAGUCAACACUGAUCUCAACUUGCAGGUGUACUAACUAUCAGGGGAGGUGAUCAAGGUUUCUCGUCAGCCUAACGGUUUCUUGUCUGGGAUUUAGCUGUUAGCAAGCCCUGAAAUCAAUGUUCCCAUAGACGGCGGUGCAGAUGACCUUUGUGCAGAAAACUACACCAAUACAGAGAGAUGUUGAAGUUCUUCUCUAGCUAAGUGAGUAAAUAUAUAGACUAUGUUAACCGGAUUAUGGAGUGAA